rnacentral:lncRNA from 1 species
GUAAGCAACUAGCCAAUUGCUAUAAGAGAGGCAGUAGCACCUAACAGCAGAGGAGUUGUGCAUAGCAUAACACACAACAGAGCAGAAAAGGCUGGUGCAGAUCUGAGGAAGCUGCUGCCAGAGGAGAGAGGAAAGAGCUGAAAGCCUGGAUAUUUGCACGCUCUGGUUUUGGUUCUCUCUCUUUCUUUCCCCUCCUGUAACUGUUUCACAUGUGAGCCCAGCCCUGUUUCCCUGCCAGGAAUCUCUGUACCCUGCCUGGCAAGUCUAAGGCGUCCUCUCUGCCUUAAAGCGCCAAUCAGGACGCCUAAGCAGGCGCUUCAGACGCUUUAGUGUCUAAGGCGGACGCCUUAGACACAUGUCUAAAGCGAGUUGGACGCUUUGAGCCUGGAGGGCGCUCUAACGCUUAAGCGUCGCUUAAGCGACACUUUAGGGACGCUUUACAAACAGAGGUAUCGUCCAGCACCGUUACUUGAGGUAACCUAUUUAACUUUAUAACCGAGUACAUCAACUGAAUUUUUCCCAUGGUGAGCUAGCUUCAACUGUUCCUGUUUGGGUUAUGUUUAUCAGUAGUUGUAAUAGUUCAUGGUGUGGUCAGUGCCAUUUAACAUCAUAUUCUGCCUAUGGUAUUAAAGAUUUUAGAUUAAUCUAAAAUAUUGGAUUUUAUCUGAAUGUUAGCCAUCGACUGUCAUAUUGUGCAUAUUUGUGAUUCAGAUUUCUUUUUAUGCCAUUGUUCAGACAUUACUCGAAAUCUCCAAUUUGUCAAAAACUUUUCUUGAUUAGAUGAUAAUGUGAUAUACAUGGUGACUGCUAUUAAAUGAGCCCAUCCACUUACGCCCUUAUAAGCGAGCAACUAAUUGAUGGUAAAUCUGUAACCCAUUGUUUUCGACUUAUGCGUGUACUUGUUUCGAAUGGAGCACAUAUUGGCAUGCUCCGUUCAUCUUAGGUGAGUGUGAAUGUUGAAGUGUGAUUUCGUAGCAUUAGGCUUGCAAUUUAAGAGAUCUUCCAAUCCAUUUUUUCUGGAUUUUGGGGAUGUGUACAGUGGAAAAUUAUAGAUAAAUAAGAUUUCUUUGUUCUUAAUUCUUUCAUGUUGGAGAGAGUGACAGUACCUACGUUCCUGUCAGUGGGCUAUAUAUAUUCUCUAGCUGCUUGCUGUUUUCUUUCUUGCGGUAAUUUAUUUGCCAUUUGUAACAGCAAAAUGAUAUGUCAACAUGCUCUGAUAUUUUAUAGCAAUUUUAGAGAUUUCUUCUCAUAUUAAGAUUAGUUCUUGCUGAUUAUUUUUGUGGGACUAGGAAAUGAAGCUUUUUUUUAUUUGUGUUGUACUCUAUUCUUUUUAUUCUGUUGGUUUUGCCUCAUACAACCAUUAUUUUAAUUAAAAAGCAUAUUUCUCUCUCUAUCUCUGACCGCGGCUCUUUUCAUCGCCUUGGCUUGCAGGUCGCCGCUGGAGCCGGACAAGGUAAUGGCUUACCUUACCCGGUGAGGUGCUGAGUAGGAAGAUCGCGCAAGACACCACCACCACCAGGUACUAGAGGGCGCCAUCAAGUAUGUCGCUGUACUGAUUGCCGAUAACCUAUAGGUCCAUCUCUUCUCUCUCUCUCUCUCUCUCUCUCUCUCUCUCUCUCUCUUUGUAGUUCUGGAUUAGGCUUACCUGAACUACUUAAUGUGACAAAAUAUCUUAAACAAGCUCUGUGAUUUCCUAUGCUCUCUUAUAUUUUCAAAGAAAAAAGAACUGCUCUUAUAUUAUAUUUGUUAGUUCCUUUAUACCCCAAGAGAAAAUAGAACUGACUAACAAAACUCUGUUGAUGAUGAAUAAUGCAGUGUAUAUAAUUCAGGGGCCCCUUUUCUUUCAUUUGUUGCUCAGUUAGCUUGUUGUUCUUACCUGCUGUUCUGAUUUUGUUUUCUGGGUGCUGUAUAGGAUACUAUGGUUAAAGAUUGUUCUGAUUUAUAUCGAUGUUGUUGAUUAUCAAAAUUAGUGGAUAUUAUCUAGGGUGCUUCUCCUUUGGAUUUGAUGUACUAUGUCUUUCCAGCUUAUACUAGAUGAUUUCUUUUCAUGGUUUUUGAUAAUUAUGGAUAUGUAUCUAAUAAUCUUAUUUUGGCGUCAACAAAUUACUCAUCUAGCAUUUCUUCUAUUACAGCUCUGUAUCUUUUUCUUUACAUGGUUACUGCACUAUUGAAGUAGUUGUAUUCUGGACUCUUUCCAUUUUACCUUGCUUGGCUGACUAGAGCCCAGAAAUAACAUUUAGUUCUGGUUGUUUUGAUCAAGUAAGUGACACCUAACUGUCAUUGAUUUCUGGGAUUGUUCAUUAUCUUGAGCCAUGCCUGGUACUGAAUCUGAAUUUUCCAUCUCUGGUACCAUGGCACGGGGUUGGCGGCGGCAUCUUGGUGAAGAAGAGGACGACAGUGGCUUAGGGAGGAAGAUGACAGUGGCAACCUGAUCUAUAUGAAUUGAGAAGCUUUCUUUCUUCCUAAAUGUGUUGAUAUGCUCUUCAUUGAUAUAGCAUAUCCUUUUCUGUAUUAUUCACAUAAUUCUUUGCUAGCAGAAUAUCCUAAACAAUCUGAAAAAUAGAUAGCUUGAAGGAUGCACGUUGUAGUGUCAAAAGGAUGCAGAACAUUUGUGCGUUCCCUCUAGAAUUUCCCCGCCUAUAUGAUUUUCAUCGAAUUAUUGCGGUCAACCUCUUUUGAUCAUUUGCUCACAAUCUGGUAAUUCACGCUUACAAUUUGUCAAGCUGAAGAAGUCUGUUUAGGCUACAUGCUCUUACCUCCUUAGACUCGGCAGAUGGGCGUUUUACAAUGAAAUAAUGUUCUUUUAUUAGAUAAAUUAUUAGGUUUUAUUUGGCUCUGCAGAGGGAUAACAUAGGACGGUAAUUUACAUUUCUGUAAUGAGUUGGAAAUAAAGAGGAGCACCCUAUGUUUUUAAGGCGGUAAGGCGAGGCGAGGCGCUGGGGGGGCGCCUCACUGCCUAAGCGCUGAGGCAUAAGGCGAGGCGACGCCUUAGAGACUUGUAAGCAACAGAAUUUAAGUAGAACUUGGUAGGCAUUAAGCAACUAGGCAUACAGCCAUACACACCUUGCAACUGAUUGUUGUAGAGCCCCCAUCCUCUUUGCACUUGCUUUUCUCCCCAACAGAAUUCUGCAUCAACAUGAAGUCAUGAACAAAUAUGUUAGAAUAAUGUAUCACUUACCAGUGCACAUUCCACAAAAAAUAGAAAUAAAAGUGAGGCAGCGAACAAAAGUGGAAAGAAAGAUAGCAAGUAUGAGUGCAACUGCAAUCUGCAAUGCAUGGCAUAUUACAUAACCAUUAACCAAUUCAAAUGACACAAGUCCAGUAGUCCACAUAAGACAAACAGAAUAAUAGAUAAUUCCAGCAUAGCAAAAGGGAUAAAGGUGGCCAGCUCAGCUCUCUCAUGUCUCUCCACUCUCAAAGUCUCAAUCAAAAGUCAUCAUCAUCAAACUCAUUGGCAUUGGUGUUGUCUUCACCAUCUUGGUCAACAUUAGUUGGCUCUUGAUCGUCAUUGCUCACAUCAUCAUCAUCCUCAACGUAGUCUGAAUCCUCCCCCUCCGCAUUGGGCAUACUGUUGCUCUUGCUUGUUGUUGCUGUACUGCAGAGGAGGAGGAGCUGCUGGACAGGAGGAUGAGGAGGAGCUGCUGGACAGGAGGAAGAGGAGGAGGAGCUGCUGGACAGGAGGAAGAGGAGGAGCUGCUGGAGAGGAGGAACCGUUGGAGAGGAGGGGGAGGAGCUGCUGGAGAGGAGGAGGAACCAGAUCUGCUGGAGAGGAGCCACUGAAGAGAAGGAGGGGGAGGAGUGUGUGGAUUGGGGGCUGUUUCUCUCUCUCUCUUUCUCCCCUCUUACCUGUUGGCGCCAACAUGAUUCCAGUUUCCCGCCAAAACUCUGUUUCCCGCCUAAAACAGUUCCCCUGCCUGCCUGGCAAGCUAAGGCGUCCAAAAUGGACUAAGGCAACGCCUCGGACGCCUAGGCAGACGCCUCGGACGCCUUAUAGCUUAAGGCGGACGCCUUAGACACCCACCUAAGGCGAGGUGGACGUCUUGCCCUCGCAGGGCGCCCUGACGCCUAAGCGUCGCCUAGGCGACGCCUUAGGGACGCCUUGAAAACAGAGGGAGCACCUCUAUUUUAUAUGGAAUGCUGAACUUUAUAUGGAAUGCUUAAUUAAGUUCUGAUAUCAAUUUCCAUUUAUGUAAUGAGUUGGAAAUAAAGAAAUGAUUAAGAAAUAUUCAUCUAGCAGAUUCUUAUGAAUGUGCAAAGUUAGGAGUACAUUGAAUUUCUAGAUGUUUCCAGCCUACCACAUUUAUUUAUUUGCAUAUAUUUUCCAAUGUAGGUUGGUAGCCUGUUGCUCAUUCCAUGCAUCUGCUCUACUGCUGGCCUCUGCCUCCUCGUUCUUUAGGAGACGGUACAAGUCAUGGAGAAUUUGUGCAACCUCCGUUCCUUUCCGACGUGUUGUGAGUUGUUGAAGGAGCGAGAGGACGCAAGACUGGGAUCAAAGCCGAGGUAAGACCCCUCCUCAUUUCCAUGCAUAUUUUUUCUUUGGGAGAUGCUGCCUUUUCUUGACUUGGCCUGCUGUCAUGUGUGCGUCCAUGUCCAGGUUGGACCGGUGAUGGCGGCUGCAGCGGGACGGAUGACACAGACAAAAAAGACAGUUCCUCAUAUUUGUCUCCGAUGAAAAAAGAUCAUCUGGUGACAAACACCUCCUUCUUUUUUCUAUAUGCAUCCUCCCAUGACAAAACUUGUUUCUGGACAGGGUAUCUUGCUGGGGAAAUAGACCCUGUAGUCUAUAUUUGUGCCUGUUAAGACUUUUUAUUGUUAUUGAAAGUGAAGCUAGCUCUGUAUAAAAGGGCUUUCGGUUGAUUAAAGUUUCACUGAAAAGAAUGUUUAUUUCAGUCCAUAUCUUAUUCCAAAUUCCCAUGAUCUAAUUGGUGUUCUAUGCAGAACAACACUUUUGGGUUUUAGGUAAUCUUUGAAUGGUCUCUAAAUGGUAAUCUUGCCUGACCACUGACUUUUUGAGUUUUGCCUUACAAGAGCAUUUCCAUGCAAAUAUAUAACAUGACGAUCUUGGAUUUCUUAUGGGUAUGAUAAUUUAUUUUUUCUAUAUGAUCAUAUGAGGUCAUGUGUAUUUUAUUCGAGCAAGUAAGGCAUAUAUCUGUUUCUUUGGAGAAUUAAAUAGGAGAAUUACUUGAACUCAAGCAGCUUUGUGGCAUUUGUUUAUGUUUAAAUUGUUUACAUUCAGAUUGGUUUCCUAAUUUCUAUUACACGGUUGGUCUCUGCAUUCCAGUUUGGUUUGUCUGUUGUAUAUAUAAUUGUGAGCUUUGUUUACUUUUACUUAUUAGGUUUCUUAGGGUCAUUCCUCCAUUACUGCUGCCACUGCUCCUUUGGUUCUUGGUCAUUGCUCUGACGAAUGUCUCCGUCCCAGGUAAUUUUCUUCUGCCUUUUGUUAUUAUUAUGUGAGUUGUCAUUGUUUUUACAUUGUAUGUUAUAUUUCCUGUUCCUUUGGCUUGGAUAAUCCGUCUUUUAUUCAUCAUCCAUUACUGUUGUUGCUGCUCCUUUAGUUCUUGGUCACAUAUAAGCUGUAAUUGUUUUUACACACUAAUGAGGGCCUUUGGAUAAUCUGUCUUUGAUUCAUUUUUCUUAUCAGAGCUCAGUUAUUGAUAUUUCAAGCCAAGUUUUUUCCACUAUUAUAAUAAAUUGAGGAGUGUUGAGAAGAAUCUAUUUGGGUUGCUCUCAUUGAAUUUCUCAUUAAGACAUGCACUCAGUUCUGGUUUAUCAAGUUAUGUAUAAUAUGUAUAUGUUGAUAUGCAUGGCAUCACUCAAAUGUGUGUAUUCCUGCUGUUGAAUUUUAGAAUCAGCACUCUGUUUUCUUUUCAAGCAUCUCUCGAAACCAUCUUUGAGAAAAAUUCUUUACUAAGUAAUGAUUUCUUCUUUUCUGUAGUAUUCCUCAAGUUUAUGAAUGAACUGAUAGAUGUCAUCUACUGCCUAUUAAGUAGGCUAUGCAAAAUAUGUUAUCAUGUAACUUGUACCCAUGCAUCAGUGAUAAAGCUGAUAAUUUUCAUUUUAUCUCAGGGUUGCUCCGUCCAUUUAUCUCUUUUUAUGUUCAGUAGUGAAGAGGGUUAUAUUCCUAACUAUGCAGAGAUUAUUAAGGGUGUUAAGUUGCUUCUCAUAAGUGAUUGGGACUAUGAGAUCAUUAAGGGGCAUUGAGCCGCUGCCCAGAGGUAUACUUUCUUUUAUUUCUUAUAUAUUUCAACCACUUAGUUUUGUUGUCUCUAAACCAUUUUUGAUGACUCAAGUUGAUCAUACUAUUGUGAGAAUCUUGGCCAGGAUCAUUCUUUAUAUCAUGUUGGAUCAUCUUAGAAUUCGUAGAGCCAGUUACCAUCGAAGGAUGUACUCAUAGAACACAAUCAGUGUAAUUGUGCUUUUCUACACUUCUGCCUAGAGCAAUGGGAUAUGUAUGAUGUAUUGUAUGGCUACCCUCUAAUGCACUACUCAGCCUCCUGUACAAAUGACUUGAUCUAAUUAUUAUGAAAGACAUGUGGAGUGUGUUGCUUUAUAUAUACAUAAUUUGCUAUAAUUCUGAUUUAUCAUAGUGCAUAGCUUUUGAUCUAUU